GGCAGCACAGUAAGAGCUUGCUCUUAUGGGUGGCGAGUGGCGGACGGGUGAGGAAUACAUCGGAAUCUACUCUGUCGUGGGGGAUAACGUAGGGAAACUUACGCUAAUACCGCAUACGACCUACGGGUGAAAGCAGGGGAUCUUCGGACCUUGCGCGAUUGAAUGAGCCGAUGUCGGAUUAGCUAGUUGGCGGGGUAAAGGCCCACCAAGGCGACGAUCCGUAGCUGGUCUGAGAGGAUGAUCAGCCACACUGGAACUGAGACACGGUCCAGACUCCUACGGGAGGCAGCAGUGGGGAAUAUUGGACAAUGGGCGCAAGCCUGAUCCAGCCAUACCGCGUGGGUGAAGAAGGCCUUCGGGUUGUAAAGCCCUUUUGUUGGGAAAGAAAUCCAGCCGGCUAAUACCUGGUUGGGAUGACGGUACCCAAAGAAUAAGCACCGGCUAACUUCGUGCCAGCAGCCGCGGUAAUACGAAGGGUGCAAGCGUUACUCGGAAUUACUGGGCGUAAAGCGUGCGUAGGUGGUCGUUUAAGUCCGUUGUGAAAGCCCUGGGCUCAACCUGGGAACUGCAGUGGAUACUGGACGACUAGAGUGUGGUAGAGGGUAGCGGAAUUCCUGGUGUAGCAGUGAAAUGCGUAGAGAUCAGGAGGAACAUCCAUGGCGAAGGCAGCUACCUGGACCAACACUGACACUGAGGCACGAAAGCGUGGGGAGCAAACAGGAUUAGAUA
rnacentral:rRNA from 1 species